CUGAAGAAAUUUAUAUGUAACCACAUUGCAUCUCAAAUAUAAAGAAAAUAAACAAAAUGAUUAACCAUGGAAGAAUUCAGUGAAUUUAACUUCUAACUAUUAUUUUUCCUUUUUAAGCAGAGUUUUGUUCUGUCACCCAGGCUGAAGUGCAGUGGCACCAUUAUGGCUCACCACAGCCUCGACCUCUCAAACUCAAGCAAUCCUCCUGCAUCAGUCUCCAGAGCAGCUGGGGCUACAUGAGCAGGCCACCAUGUUUAGCUGAGUACCUCAGGACACAAAGGAUUCAAGGCCCUUCAUCUUCAACCAGGAGAUUUUUGUCUACUGGAAACAUCUUUUAGAAGACUCUCUUGAGGCCAGGCAUGGUGGCUCAGGCCUGUAAUGCCAGCACUUUGGGAGGCCAAGGAAGAAGUAGAGACCAGACCUCCACACUUGCAAUUAUUAAUCUUUGUUAUAACUGUCUCCUUCAUCGUCCUAUACCAGAAGGUGCACAAGACCCCAUGACUGCUGCAUCUUUAUUGUAGAAUGUUCAAUAUACCUUUCUCAAAAGAAAAAGAUUAUGUUGACUAAUCAAAUCAUUGUAACUAUGCAUUUAGCCUUACAUACAAAGAUGUUGGAAUUCUGUUAAGCUUCCCUAAACUUUGUCUAUAUAAACGAUCCCAAACAUCUAUGCUUCACAACACUGACUUCCAUUCUUUGGAAUCUGUGCUUACUAGGCAACUUGUUCUGAAACUCUGCACUUGAAUAAACUCUUUUUAAACUAGAUUCUGACGCUUUUCACUACCUUAGAUUGACAAGUUUAAGACAGGUGGAUCUGGAAUCAUGAU